UACGUAGGUGGCAAGCGUUAUCCGGAAUUAUUGGGCGUAAAGCGCGCGCAGGUGGUUUCUUAAGUCUGAUGUGAAAGCCCACGGCUCAACCGUGGAGGGUCAUUGGAAACUGGGAGACUUGAGUGCAGAAGAGGAAAGUGGAAUUCCAUGUGUAGUGGUGAAAUGCGUAGAUAUCGGGAGGAACACCAGUGGCGAAGGCGACUACCUGGCCUGUUCUUGACGCUGAGGCGCGAAAGCUAGGGGAGCAAACGGG
rnacentral:rRNA from 1 species